ACAAACUUGGUCAUUUAGAGGAAGUAAAAGUCGUAACAAGGUUUCCGUAGGUGAACCUGCGGAAGGAUCAUUAAUGAAUGAAAUUGAGUGGGGUUGUAGCUGGCCUUUCACGGGCAUGUGCACACCUCAUUCAACCACCUUCUACACCUCUGUGCACUUCUCAUGGGUUGGGCUGCGUCUGAAAUAUGACAAAGUUCCUUCCUGUGUGUUUUUAUACAAACAAAUAAUGUUAUAGAAUGUCACUAUCAUGCUUUAAAGCAUAUAAUACAACUUUCAACAACGGAUCUCUUGGCUCUCGCAUCGAUGAAGAACGCAGC
rnacentral:misc_RNA from 1 species